rnacentral:rRNA from 1 species
AGUGAACGCUGGCGGUAGGCCUAACACAUGCAAGUCGAACGGCAGCACAGUAAGAGCUUGCUCUUACGGGUGGCGAGUGGCGGACGGGUGAGGAAUACAUCGGAAUCUACUUUUUCGUGGGGGAUAACGUAGCUAAACUUACGCUAAUACCGCAUACGACCUACGGGUGAAAGCAGGGGAUCUUCGGACCUUGCGCGAUUGAAUGAGCCGAUGUCGGAUUAGCUAGUUGGCGGGGUAAAGGCCCACCAAGGCGACGAUCCGUAGCUGGUCUGAGAGGAUGAUCAGCCACACUGGAACUGAGACACGGUCCAGACUCCUACGGGAGGCAGCAGUGGGGAAUAUUGGACAAUGGGCGCAAGCCUGAUCCAGCCAUACCGCGUGGGUGAAGAAGGCCUUCGGGUUGUAAAGCCCUUUUGUUGGGAAAGAAAAGCAGCAGGUUAAUACCCCGCUGUUCUGACGGUACCCAAAGAAUAAGCACCGGCUAACUUCGUG